UACGUAGGGGGCAAGCGUUGUUCGGAAUUACUGGGCGUAAAGGGCUCGUAGGCGGCCAACUAAGUCGGACGUGAAAUCCCUCGGCUUAACCGGGGAACUGCGUCCGAUACUGGAUGGCUUGAGUUCGGGAGAGGGAUGCGGAAUUCCAGGUGUAGCGGUGAAAUGCGUAGAUAUCUGGAGGAACACCGGUGGCGAAGGCGGCAUCCUGGACCGACACUGACGCUGAGGAGCGAAAGCCAGGGGAGCAAACAGG
rnacentral:rRNA from 1 species